rnacentral:ncRNA from 1 species
AACUUAGGUAGAGGUGCGAAACUUAAUAGUAGUAUUAUGGAGGUAAGAUCAGUGAAGUAAUACGAAAGGAUUUUUCGCCGAAGUGAAUAGCAAAUUUCUUUACUGCUGUUUACUGGGCUUAUGUAAAAUAUGCAUAAGACUGUCACAAUUUAUUUUGUGGAGAGCUAUUUUCAAU